GGUUUCCAUUCAGCAAUAGACUGUAAACAAGCCUGAUGUUUUGCCUUCAUUUAGGAAGACAUAUCUCAAGACCUAGUAACAGUUUGCUGCUGGCUGCAAAUGACUCUGAUCAUAGAGUGAACUAGCCCUUCAAGUCUCUUUCUCACUGACAUCCCCACAUCUCGUAUGCUUCAGCAUCAAAUCAGUGGUCUUCCCUAAUGUUCCAAAUUCUUUCAUACCUCUGGGCUUCUGCAUUUACUGUCUCCUCUGCCUGAGACUUCUAUGAUCUCUUCUAUUCAUCUGGUGAAUUCAUAUUCACUCUUUGAGAUUUAGACCAAACUUCAGCUGCACCAGGAAGUGAUUCAGGCCAGGCUAGGUGCCUAUCUUCUAAGCUUCGAUAACACUCCACUGCACCCUUCUAUGCACUUAACACACUUCAUGAUAGUCUUGGUUUACUUAUUUCUGUGGUACUUCUACAAGAUUCUUGAAAACAUGGACUUAUAUUAUUCAUCUUAUUUUGUUUAUAUAUUCUCAUCUCCUAGUUAGUACAAUUCCUGGCACAUAGGAGAGCUCAUAAAUGUUAUUUAAAUGAAUAAACAAAUAAUUGAAUUAUUAGUAAAAAGCAGGCAAAUUAAGUAGAUUUCUCUACAUUGUGACUUGAAGAUCUUCCCAAAGAACAAAAAUACCUGAAAAGCCACCAUUAGAGAUUUACUAUAGAUUAUUUUGACCUGGCAGUAAAAUUGCAGCAUGGCCUUAAACAAUGCUGGCUUUCUUAGCUAAUAGUUUUUCAUCACAUUAAAGUACACUACAACCAUCCAUCUCCUCCAGAAACCUAAGAGUAGGGUUACAAAAGAACAUAAAAGGUAAGUUCCAAUAAGAGACAAUUCAUGUCUUAAAUUUACAGAAUGGAAUAAUGCUCAAGACAGGGAAGGUCUAAAUAAGUGAUUAGCACACCGUUUUGGGGAGCAUUCAGACUUGAGUUUGAAUCCUAGUUCUACCACUCAAUAGCUAUGAGAUUUGGGAAAAUGUACUUUCUUACUCCUGCAUCAAUUUCUUCAUCUGGAAAAUGGGAAUAUUAACAUCCAAAUCAUAAGAUUAAAUGAGAUAACAUAUAAAAUGCUUUUCAGGAGUUCCCAGGCUCGGGGUCAAAUCGGAGCUGUAGCCGCCAGCCUACGCCAGAGCCACGGCAACACAGGAUCCGAGCCGUAUCUGCAACCUACACCACAGCUCAUGGCAACGUUGGAUCCUUAACCCACUGAGCAAGGGCAGGGACUGAACCCACAACCUCAUGGUUCCUAGUCGGAUUCGUUAACCACUGCGCCAUGACGGGAACUCCUGCACCACUUAUUGAAGAGACUGUCUUUCCUCCAAUGAGACUGUCUGUCCUUGCCUCCUUUGUCAUGGAUUAGUUAACCAUAGCACACAGGUUUAUUUUCAGGCUUUCUAUCCUGUCCCAUUGAUCUAUAUUUCUGUUUUUGUGCCAGUACCAUACUGUUUUGAUGACUGUAGCUUUGUAGUAUAGUCUUGAGUCAGGGAGCCUGCUUCCUCCAGUUCUGCUUUUCUUUUUCAAUAUUGCUUUAGCUAUUUUGGAUUUUUUGUGUUUCCAUACAAAUUUUUUUAUUCAUGUAUUUAUUAAAGUAUAGUUGAUUUGCAAUGUUGUGCCAAUUUCUGCUGUACAGCAAAGUGACCCAGUCAUGCAUAGCUAUACAUUCCCUUUCUUCUCUCUCUCUUUUUUUUUUUCUAUCUUUUUGCCUUUUCUAGGGCCACUUCCUGCAGCAUAUGGAGGUUCCCAGGCUAGGGGUCUAAUCAGAGCUGUAGCCACCGGCCUACGCCACAGCCACAGCAACACGGGAUCCAAGUCACGUCUACAAACUACACCACAACUCAUGGAAACACCGGAUCCUUAACCCACUGAGCAAGGCCAGGGAUUGAACCCGAAACCUCAUGGUUCUUAGUCAGAUUCGUUAUCCAUUGAGCCACGACAGGAACUCCUUAUCUUAUCUUCCAUCAUGGUCCAUCCCAAGAGAUUGGAUAUAGUUUCCUGUGCUAUGCAGCAGAACCUCAUUGCUUAUCCAUGCCAUAUAAAUUUUAAAAUGUCCUGUUCUAGUUCUGUGAAGAAUGGCAUUGGAUUAAGAAGAUGUGGUGCAUAUAUACAAUGGAAUACUACUUGGCCAUAAAAAAAGAACAAAGUAGAGUUCCCACUGUGGCUCAGUGAUAAUGAACCUCACUAGCAUCCCUGGCCUCCCUCAGUGGGUUAAGGAUCUAGCACAGACUGGGCUCGGAUCCUGAAUUGCUGUGGCUCUAGCGUAGGCUGGCCACCGCAGCUCCAAUUUGAUUCCUAGCCUAGAAACUUCCAUAUGCUGCACAUGUAGCCCUAAAAAGCAAAAGAAAAAAGAAAAAAAAAAA
rnacentral:lncRNA from 1 species